rnacentral:rRNA from 1 species
ACGGAAGGCAGCAGUGAGGAAUAUUGCACAAUGGGGGAAACCCUGAUGCAGCGACGCCGCGUGAGUGAAGAAGUAUUUCGGUAUGUAAAGCUCUAUCAGCAGGGAAGAAAAUGACGGUACCUGACUAAGAAGCCCCGGCUAACUACGUGCCAGCAGCCGCGGUAAUACGUAGGGGGCAAGCGUUAUCCGGAUUUACUGGGUGUAAAGGGAGCGUAGACGGCAAGACAAGUCUGGAGUGAAAUUCCGGGGCUCAACCCCGGAACUGCUUUGGAAACUGUUUAGCUAGAGUAUCGGAGAGGUAAGCGGAAUUCCUAGUGUAGCGGUGAAAUGCGUAGAUAUUAGGAGGAACACCAGUGGCGAAGGCGGCUUACUGGACGAUAACUGACGUUGAGGCUCGAAAGCGUGGGGAGCAAACAGGAUUAGAUACCCUGGUA